UGAAAAUCCCGACUUCGGAAGGGAGGUAUUUAUUAGAUUAAAAACCAAUGCCCUCUGGGCUCCUUGGUGAUUCAUAAUAACUUUUCGAAUCGCACGGCCUUGCGCCGGCGAUGGUUCAUUCAAAUUUCUUCCCUAUCAACUUUCGAUGUUUGGGUAUUGGCCAAACAUGGUCGCAACGGGUAACGGAGGGUUAGGGCUCGACCCCGGAGAAGGAGCCUGAGAAACGGCUACUACAUCCAAGGAAGGCAGCAGGCGCGCAAAUUACCCAAUCCCGAUUCGGGGAGGUAGUGACAAUAAAUACUGAUACAGGGCUCUUUUGGGUCUUGUAAUUGGAAUGAGUACAAUUUAAAUCUCUUAACGAGGAACAAUUGGAGGGCAAGUCUGGUGCCAGCAGCCGCGGUAAUUCCAGCUCCAAUAGCGUAUAUUAAAGUUGUUGUGGUUAAAAAGCUCGUAGUUGAACCUUGGGCCUGGCUGGCCGGUCCGCCUCACCGCGUGUACUGGUCCGGCCGGGCCUUUCCCUCUGUGGAACCUCAUGCCCUUCACUGGGUGUGGCGGGGAAACAGGACUUUUACUUUGAAAAAAUUAGAGUGCUCCAGGCAGGCCUAUGCUCGAAUACAUUAGCAUGGAAUAAUAAAAUAGGACGCGUGGUUCUAUUUUGUUGGUUUCUAGGACCGCCGUAAUGAUUAAUAGGGACAGUCGGGGGCAUCAGUAUUCAAUUGUCAGAGGUGAAAUUCUUAGAUUUAUUGAAGACUAACUACUGCGAAAGCAUUUGCCAAGGAUGUUUUCAUUAAUCAGGAACGAAAGUUAGGGGAUCGAAGACGAUCAGAUACCGUC
rnacentral:rRNA from 1 species